UUCUUUCACCGGAGCUUGCUCCACCGAAAGAAAAAGAGUGGCGAACGGGUGAGUAACACGUGGGUAACCUGCCCAUCAGAAGGGGAUAACACUUGGAAACAGGUGCUAAUACCGUAUAACACUAUUUUCCGCAUGGAAGAAAGUUGAAAGGCGCUUUUGCGUCACUGAUGGAUGGACCCGCGGUGCAUUAGCUAGUUGGUGAGGUAACGGCUCACCAAGGCAACGAUGCAUAGCCGACCUGAGAGGGUGAUCGGCCACACUGGGACUGAGACACGGCCCAGACUCCUACGGGAGGCAGCAGUAGGGAAUCUUCGGCAAUGGACGAAAGUCUGACCGAGCAACGCCGCGUGAGUGAAGAAGGUUUUCGGAUCGUAAAACUCUGUUGUUAGAGAAGAACAAGGAUGAGAGUAGAACGUUCAUCCCUUGACGGUAUCUAACCAGAAAGCCACGGCUAACUACGUGCCAGCAGCCGCGGUAAUACGUAGGUGGCAAGCGUUGUCCGGAUUUAUUGGGCGUAAAGCGAGCGCAGGCGGUUUCUUAAGUCUGAUGUGAAAGCCCCCGGCUCAACCGGGGAGGGUCAUUGGAAACUGGGAGACUUGAGUGCAGAAGAGGAGAGUGGAAUUCCAUGUGUAGCGGUGAAAUGCGUAGAUAUAUGGAGGAACACCAGUGGCGAAGGCGGCUCUCUGGUCUGUAACUGACGCUGAGGCUCGAAAGCGUGGGGAGCGAACAGGAUUAGAUACCCUGGUAGUCCACGCCGUAAACGAUGAGUGCUAAAUGUUGGAGGGUUUCCGCCCUUCAGUGCUGCAGCAAACGCAUUAAGCACUCCGCCUGGGGAGUACGACCGCCAGGUUGAAACUCAAAGGAAUUGACGGGGG
rnacentral:rRNA from 1 species